UUACCCAAUCUUCCCCAUUCUCCACUUUCACCUCCUUGAUCCCUUCUUCCACUUCUUUAAAAGAAUCCAUCACUUCAUGAUCAGUGAUUCCAUACUGGAUCAUAUUGAUGUUUGCAGGUGUAGGAACGUGGUUAUAGUUAGGUAAAGGUUUGGUUUGGGUACUAGGUUUGGAAAGAUCAGUGAUUUGAUCGCUAUCAAUAAGGUCAUGUACAUCAUGCUUGAGCGAGUAUAGUUGUCUGUUGUAUGCCUGACCAUUUGGUGAUAAUGGCAGAAAUCAUUCAUAUUCCAUUUUUCUAGUGCAAGGUUAGUUUCCAAGUUAAAUGAUCAUGUGGCAAAUUACCCGUGACCUCUAAUGGUAGGUUUUUCUUCUUCUACU
rnacentral:misc_RNA from 1 species